CAGUCGACGGACUCAUAUUGAAACCUAGUGAUUUAUGAGUUAGUGGCGGACGGGUGAGUAACGCGUGGAUAACCUGCCGUAUACCGGGGGAUAACACUUAGAAAUAGGUGCUAAUACCGCAUAAGCGCACGGCUCCGCAUGGGGCAGUGUGAAAAACUCCGGUGGUAUACGAUGGAUCCGCGUCUGAUUAGCUAGUUGGCGGGGUAACGGCCCACCAAGGCAGCGAUCAGUAGCCGGCCUGAGAGGGUGGACGGCCACAUUGGGACUGAGACACGGCCCAAACUCCUACGGGAGGCAGCAGUGGGGAAUAUUGCACAAUGGGGGAAACCCUGAUGCAGCGACGCCGCGUGAGUGAAGAAGUAUCUCGGUACGUAAAGCUCUAUCAGCAGGGAAGAAAAUGACGGUACCUGACUAAGAAGCCCCGGCUAACUACGUGCCAGCAGCCGCGGUAAUACGUAGGGGGCAAGCGUUAUCCGGAUUUACUGGGUGUAAAGGGAGCGUAGACGGCAGCACAAGUCUGGAGUGAAAUCCCGGGGCUUAACCCCGGAACUGCUUUGGAAACUGUGCGGCUGGAGUGCAGGAGGGGUAAGCGGAAUUCCUAGUGUAGCGGUGAAAUGCGUAGAUAUUAGGAGGAACACCGGUGGCGAAGGCGGCUUACUGGACUGUAACUGACGUUGAGGCUCGAAAGCGUGGGGAGCAAACAGGAUUAGAUACCCUGGUAGUCCACGCCGUAAACGAUGAUUACUAGGUGUC
rnacentral:rRNA from 1 species